GAGGCUGGCGGGCCCCGGAGAGGCAUGUUGGGCCACGGCGUUGGCGGGACGACGGCUCCUGCUGUGCAGGCAUGUCCGAGGGUGCUGGGCAAUCCACCGAAGGAGGGCAUCGUAAAGAGAAGAAGCCUAGACCUAGCGAUCCAGUUGUUCACUUUGGUCAUUGCUUCUGAGGCAAGCAUCCAAUUAUAGGAGGACUCUACGAGGUGUAUUAAAAAGGUAAUAGGUUCGAAACAGAGGCAAGCAUGUUAAAUGCUAUCAUCCUUCCAUGCAGUUAAAAAUUGAGAGAAUUGUGGGUUAGGCAUGUGUAUACAAGGGUUUGAGAAAGGAUACUGGACAGUACGGUAAUACUGAACCAGAAUAAAUGUAAUGUUUCAUGGCAGAUGGUGUAGGUAACUAUUAGGUGAUGUGCCUGCCUGUCUCAUAACUUAGCUCUAACUGCUGUAUGUAAUGCUUCCAGACAGUUUACCCUGUAAUGUAUGAUGGCAAGUGCUGUGCUAAGACCUUUCCUUUAAGGAAAAGAAAAAAGAAAAAGAACAUGCAUAAGUCUAGAGCCUUUAAUUGAAAGGAACAUGCAAAUUUAUCCGUUUGUUAUAGAGAUGGAAACAAUGCUAGCAAAUGCUGACAAAGAGAAAAGAUAGAUGAGCAGUUUUUUGUGAUUAAUACGUAAGGGACCAGAUGAAACAAGGAAGCAAAAAUGCAGCAGACCCUUGAUGUCACCAGAAAUUGCUACAGCAGGAGGUGUUCUGGCACAGGUAACUAGGGUAACUGCUGAUAAUGAGCGUUUGUUAUUUCAGUCUCCCAGAGGCAGGACUGAGGACUAAAUAAGCCAUUUCUACCAUGUGGAUAUUGUUAACUGUAUCUGGCUUAGCUGAGUUUUGCUUUGGUCAUUCCUAUUUUGUUUUGUUAUCAUAUAUGCAUGCAUAAAAAGGGAAUGACAUAAUACUUACUUUUUAGAUUAAUUGCCACAGCUGAUGUUGUGGAAACAGUUUGUCCUACUGUCAUUUAAUUAAAUAAUUAAUUUUGCUGUUAUAUGUGCGUGAGACUCUGCUCCUCCUAAAACUAGGGUCGAGCUGUUUCCACAACAGGUGGCCGGGUGCCUGAGCGAGUCUGACUGUACGUGAGGGAUGCUGUGACAUCCUUGCAAUGAAACGGAGUCAGAGAGAAUGACUGAAGCAGUGUAGAGGGUCAGUCAUAAUUGUGGGAACCCUUACAGGCCUUGGACUAGGAAGUAGUUCUAGGAGGGCUGUGCAGUUGCCUGGCCUCUCAGUAACUGUUCUGGCCUCUUGGCAGGUGCUGAAGCGUGGUCUGGCAGUCGAAGGAACAGUGUCAAAGCUGGGAGCUCUGCAGAGACCUGCAGCUAGCCGUGGAGGACAAGCUCUGACUUGCAGCGUGGACACAGCUAAGUCCUGGGGCUGCAUUUUAUGUGAGCAGGGCUGGGAGGUGGAAGGCAGCUGUCUCCGAGGUGGUUACUGGUGUCACUGGCUGAGGAUGUUUGCCCAUGGAGCUGAGGGGACCAAAAAUAUUAGUUGUCUGUAACGGAGAUGAAUUAGUGCUUGCAGUGUUUCAGAUAGGUUCACUGGAAGCGCAGCUUAGUGCAGGCCUGUGGAGUGGUUCUCGCAUGUGGUCACGUUUGAACGGUGGCUAAAACCACCAUUUUACAGCAUAAACAGCAACUGCAUGAUUCUGGUGUGCAUCUUCCUGUUCUGCUGCACUUCUAAAUGAAGGGGAAACUUCUUAAGCUGCGGGCAGAACGCCUUGGCUUCUCUUCACUGGUCUCAUGCUUAUGUGUGCUUUGGUGUUUCUUGCUUAAAGCUGAGGGUUAGAAGUUUUUCACUUAAGGUUUACUGUUUAGUUUGUUGUUCAGGGUCUGUCACUCAAGGGUUAUGGUUUGUUACUUUAUUUUGUGGGGCUGUCUUUAUCAGUCAGGGUUUACAGUUUACUAACGUAGCGAUCAGGGCGCAGGAUUUAAAAUCCAGCCUCAUCCGUAAAUUUUAAAGCCUCUGCAACCAUUCAGGUUCCAAGAUUUGCAGUUUGUCACUUAGGGUUCAGGGCUUACGCCUUGCUGAUAAACGACAAGGGCUGAAUCCUUAGGUAAUAAACUGAAAGCCCUGAAGCCUAAGCAGCAGGCUGCGAACCUUUCUUUGGGGCUUGUAACCUUCCCCUGCACCCAGCGCUCAGCUUUGUGCACUGACCUGACGUUUGGAUUUGAUACAGUGGAGGCGUAACACAGAGUGGUGGUGUGACAGGUGAGUUGAGAGCUGUGAAAGUGUCCUGCAGGGCUCCAGUCUGGGGUAGGGCAGUAGUGCAGACAGGCAAGAUCAGAGAUCAGGCAUUUUCCUCUCACCUGUCAGAGCC